rnacentral:rRNA from 1 species
UACGUAGGGUGCGAGCGUUGUCCGGAAUUAUUGGGCGUAAAGGGCUCGUAGGCGGUUGUCGCGUCGGGAGUGAAAUCCACUGGCUUAACUGGUGGCUUGCUUUCGAUACGGGCAGACUGGAGGUAUGCAGGGGGAGAACGGAAUUCCUGGUGUAGCGGUGAAAUGCGCAGAUAUCAGGAGGAACACCGGUGGCGAAGGCGGUUCUCUGGGCAUGUCCUGACGCUGAGGAGCGAAAGUGUGGGGGAGCGAACAGG